GAACCUGGUGAGGGGUGGGAGAGGGGGAAGAGGGGGGUCCAGUGAGACAACAGGGUAAUGGCAGUAGAGGAGGGGUGUUAGGCAAAGAGAGGGAGAGAAGGACAGAGAAGAGGUCAUGAAGAGCAUGGGUGUGGUGGGAAAGGGAAAGAAGGUGAAAUACGGAGGGAUACACAGUGACCACAGAGGUGCUGUGACCUGGGAGUGAUAGAGUGGCAGGUGGGAGACUGAUUGACAUAUAGGUGAUAGGAGAGGUGACAGCUAGAGAAAGGAAACUUCAGGAAUAAAGUAUGAGAGGGGAUAGAACAGGUAAGAAGAUGAGACACCCGGAGUCAGGGGUCUUUCCCAGAGCCCCUUCCUUCUUGCCCAUCCUUUGGAGUUGCAUUUUCUAUGUGUGUGGGUCAGAGGUCAGCUAGGAGUUAGAAGUGGGUUUGUACCCCUGCCCUGUGCUGUCUUCUGCUAUUGCUGGAACAAACUUCAGUCCCUUCUGGGGGCGGCGGGGGGUCACCUGUGCCAGGACAUGUGAGUUGGCACUGAGCACAUGGAGCGUGGGCAUGCAAGGGUGGCCAGGUGGGCUUUUAGCACACGGAUGCCCCCCUUUCCCCUUCUCCUUCCUAGCCUGGUCGCCCACACACCAGCUGCCCAGAACCAGGCGGUGCAGAGCUGGGCUGGGGCGUUGUGUGUGUGUGUGUGUGUGUGUGUGUGUGUGUGUGCAGGUUGUGGGUCUGACACACAUUGGGUGUGUGUGUGCGGGACAUUGGCAGCAGAUCUCUGGAAGGGGUCUUAGAGGUCCAGACACCUGGCUUCUCAGAGAGGAAGGGAAUCAAGGGAAGCCAACAGGGCUGAGAAACUGGAGCCCAGCAGCCCCCGUCCUUCUCUGCAAUCCUGCUCAGAGCCUCCGCUACCUCUGCAAUCCCUACCCCUGCAAUCUGCACCUGCCAUCCCUGCACUGGGAUGGGGCAGGAAUGAGGACUCAGCUCCCAACAUCCCAUUAUUACCCUAUUGUGGGUAGCAGAGCAAGAGUGGGUGUUGGGGGACAUGGGGGCUGCUUGGAACUGCCCUUCCCCCCCUAAGCUUAUCAAGCCCUGUAAUGUGUCACGCACUGUAGUUUGCAUGUAUUAGCUCAUUUACAACAGCUCUGGGAGGUAGGUCCUCUUACUAUCAUCAUUCCCAUUUAACAGAUAAGGUAACUGAAGAUCCAAGAGGUGGACUGAUCGGUUCAGAGUCACACAGCUAGUGAGGAGUCAGGUGAUAUCCGUGUGGCCUUGGAUGGGUCAUUUAAUCUCUCUGAGGCCCAAACAGGAAUAAUAGAGUACCUGCCUCGGGCUUCAGGAAGGACUGGGAGAAGGCACGCUCGGUCCGUAUUUCCGCAGCCCGCCCCGACGCCUCUCCCUGACCACCCCCCGCCAGCGGUGCCCACCUGCACACUGUGAUCAGGUUCCUACGCUCCACGGCCACAUUGCGGGAAGACGCUUUCUUGGAGGACAGCCCCAGAGCCAUGGUGGUCUGGACAAAGCUCGCUUCCAUCCAGAUGUGCGGCCACUGCUGCCGCCACCAGCUGCCCCCCACCCCGCCUGGAGCCCCGGCCCCCCCCCCGCCGGAUCACGGCUGGGCCCUCUGCCCGCCGGGGCCCCUCGAUCCCUGCUCGGUCAUCCCCCUGCCGCUGCUCCCGGUGCCCGGCCCCCUGGCACCCUCCCCCGGCGGCGAUUCCAGAGCAAAACAAGGCCGGAGGGAGCUCUCCGAGGUGCUGAGCCGGGCCCGUCACCCCCCUCCCUUAGACGCCCGCCCCCCUCGGCUGGUGACGUCAGGGCCCUCGGGCCCCGCCCCUGGCAGGCCGGGCACCAAUCCGCAGAGGAUGCAGAAUUUGGGGGUGGGGGGGGAGAGGGCUGGGGCAGAGGGAGGGCGGAGGGGGUCCCCGGAAGAAGCAGCGAUUGGAAGGAGGAAGAGGGGGUAUCUGGCCUGUUGUCCAUUCCCACACUCAGGGCCCGGGACCCCUCUCCUCGCGUCUCUGAGUUCCCACGACUGAACUCCCUGGUUUCUGAGCUGUGAUCGGUGGUGUCUCAGUUUUCCUUCUGCUGCCGGGGAAAGGAGGUCCUCACUUCCCAUACCCUCAUCGCAGCCCCGUCCCCCACCCAAUCAGUAUCUGCGUUCUCAAGGAGGCCGGGAUCAGGUCUGCCUCCAGAGAGCGCAGGUGGCCCUACUCGGUAACCUAGGAGGCCAAGGAGCAGUCCGAGAGACUGUGUAUCUGGUGUUUGGCUUGUCAGCACCGGCCGGUGGAUUCAACGGCUCCUAGGGUGGGGGAUGGGAAUCCAGAAUAAGCCGUAGGAGCCUAGCGGCUUGAACCACUCAGGACUGUGAGACUAGACUGGCAGCUAAGGGCCAAGGCACUGCUCUCUCUCUCUCUCUCUCUCUCUCUCUCUCUUUCUUUCUCUCUCUCUCUCUCGUAGUCCUACUACACCCUCACACCAUCCCAGGGCAAUUGGCUUGAGGGUUAACCCCCUGGCUAUCAGCAUUGCUGCAUGGUACCAUCAACUCACUCUGCAAGGCUAAGAGAGCCCCCAAAGCUGAUCACAUCUUUUAGGGUAAAGUGAAAGAAAUGGAUGCAUUGCCUGGCUUUCCUGUCACCCUCUGCCUCCCAGUUGUUCUCUCAUCCCUGCUUGCACCUGCUCCAUUCCUCUACUCAACCUGUUCUCUUUCACACUCCAAAAUCUCCAGCUCCCACAGAAAUCCUUCUGUGUUAAGGUGGGGUACACCCAAUUUUCCCAUUUGGCUUUAGGAAUGUCCAUCCUAGGGCUCAGCUUAUGUGUAUUCACCAACUCUGUCCACCUCCUGGAUUUACUCCACUUUACUAGUGUAUGGUCAUAUGUCCCCACACGGAUUCACAUGUGCACCAACAUCUGAAUAUGAUCAGCAGGCAGGGACCCUCUGUUAGCACAAACAGAGGAGGAAGAGAUUAAAAAAAAAAAAGGCCUAUGCAAGCUCACAACCCCGGUCUCACUCCCUGGGCACUCCCAGCAAAGAUCUCAUGUCUACUCAACCUCAGCCUCAAUUCUUGGCUUCCAGGACCUCAGACUUGGUCUUUUCUGUUUCUCCUUUGCCGUUUCCCUCUUCCCUCGCUUCUAGAAGGCCCUCUUAUCAUCCUCCUGCCUCCAGCUAGAUAGCCAAGGCCAAUCAUGAUAUUCUUUUGUUUUUCAGUUGCAGGGUAUGUCAUGUGAACAAAAGAGCAUGUAAAACACAUAGGUGCAGUUUAAGGAAUAUUUACAAAACAAACACCUGUGUCAUUUCCUUAAAGAUCAAGAAAUAGAAAGUUGUCAAGAACCCAGGACUUCCCAAACACACCCAGAUCUUCUCUUCAUCCAUCCCCCCAAGGGACAGCCACUAUCCUGACUUUUGUGAUAAUCAUUUCCUUGCUUUUCUUUAUAGUUUUAUCACCUAUAUGUCAAUCAAUAAAUAUAUAGUUUAAUGUUUCUUUAUUAAAAGAAAAUUUGUUAUUUGUCUA